rnacentral:snRNA from 1 species
GUUCUUUCGCGAGAGGCGAUAUCAUAGCCUAUGAAGUCAUCUGAAGUGUGAUUAUUGCUGGUUGAAAACUUACACCCAAUACCCGCUUGGAUGAUUGAAAUAUAGUCAGCCUUGGCAAUUUUUGAUAGUCUUUAUGUGAGACUGCUAUACAGUGAAAGAGAAGA